AUUGAACGCUGGCGGCAGGCCUAACACAUGCAAGUCGAACGAGUGGCGGACGGGUGAGUAAUGUCUGGGAAACUGCCUGAUGGAGGGGGAGAAUUACUGGAAACGGUAGAUAAUACCGCAUACCAUCAGAUCUGCCCAGAUGGGAUUAGAUAGUUGGUGGGGUAACGGCUCACCAAGGCGUAGAUCCCUAGCUGGUCUGAGAGGAUGACCGGCCACACUGGAACUGAGACACGGUCCAGACUCCUACGGGAGGCAGCAGUGGGGAAUAUUGCCCAAUGGGCGCAAGCCUGAUGCAGCCAUGCCGCGUGAAUGAAGAAGGCCUUCGGGUUGUAAAGGACUUUCAGCGGGGAGGCGUUACCCGCAGAGGAAGCACCGGCUAACUCCGUGCCAGCAGCCGCGGUAAUAC
rnacentral:rRNA from 1 species